rnacentral:rRNA from 1 species
UACGUAGGGUGCGAGCGUUGCCCGGAUUUAUUGGGCGUAAAGGGCGCGCAGGCGGUUGUGUGCGUCACGUGUGAAAUCUCCCGGCUCAACCGGGAGGGUGCGCCGAAUACUGAGUGACUAGAGUGCGGGAGAGGAAAGUGGAAUUCCUGGUGUAGCGGUGAAAUGCGUAGAUAUCAGGAGGAACACCGGUGGUGUAGACGGCUUUCUGGACCGUAACUGACGCUGAGACACGAAAGCGUGGGUAGCAAACAGG